GACGAACGCUGGCGGCGUGCUUAACACAUGCAAGUCGAACGGAAAGGCCCUGCUUUUGUGGGGUGCUCGAGUGGCGAACGGGUGAGUAACACGUGAGUAACCUGCCCUUGACUUUGGGAUAACUUCAGGAAACUGGGGCUAAUACCGGAUAGGAGCUCCUGCUGCAUGGUGGGGGUUGGAAAGUUUCGGCGGCUGGGGAUGGACUCGCGGCUUAUCAGCUUGUUGGUGGGGUAGUGGCUUACCAAGGCUUUGACGGGUAGCCGGCCUGAGAGGGUGACCGGCCACAUUGGGACUGAGGUACGGCCCAGACUCCUACGGGAGGGAGCAGUGGGGAAUAAUGCACAAUGGGCGGAAGGCUGAUGCAGCAACGCCGCGUGCGGGAUGACGGCCUUCGGGUUGUAAACCGCUUUCGCCUGUGACGAAGCGUGAGUGACGGUAAUGGGUAAAGAAGCACCGGCUAACUACGUG
rnacentral:rRNA from 1 species